UACGUAGGGGGCAAGCGUUGUCCGGAAUCAUUGGGCGUAAAGAGCGUGUAGGCGGCCAGAUAAGUCCGCUGUGAAAUCUCGAGGCUCAACUUCGAGCUGUCGGUGGAAACUGUCUGGCUAGAGUCCGGAAGAGGAGAAUGGAAUUCCUGGUGUAGCGGUGAAAUGCGCAGAUAUCAGGAGGAACACCGGUGGCGAAGGCGGUUCUCUGGGCCUGUACUGACGCUGAGGAGCGAAAGCGUGGGGAGCGAACAGG
rnacentral:rRNA from 1 species